AGGACCGACAAUAACAAAGGGGGCCAAACGAACGUUGCCGGGUCGGCAACGACUUCAUGGAUGCAGGAGGUAGUGAGUUGGGCAGGCAAGCAGGCGGCAACCUCGCUCCAUUUGAGUGCACAACUGCUCUGUCUAUGUGGAGAAACAUGAAGUAAAAACAAAACUGGAAGAAAAAUAAAAAUAAAGCUGAACGAUCAUCGUCAUGGUGAUGUUGUGUUGGUGGUGCUGAUGACGAUCGGCAUCAUCAUCAUCAUCGUCAUUGAUAAGAAGCAGCUUAUGUACGUAUACAUAUCUCAGCAGGGGAUGGAAGCAUGCGGUGUAGUUGUUGACCCGAUCGGGCCAAGCAGAAGCAUGAUGGAAACCUAAACGGUGACGGUGAAAGGGGUAAACGGCGCAGUGAGGCACAGACGUGAACUGAAAUACCAGGUUGAACAGCCCGCUGUACAAGGCGGAGGCGUGCGGUGGGCCACACUCAUCGCCAUAUAGCCUAAAGGGGGAUCCGGCAUGGACGUCCAUCAACGGUGCUGGCGGCAGAUGAUGAUGAUCUUACUUCACGGUGAAGGCGCUGAGGUGUGCACCUCCGAGCGGCAACAGAUCGUCGACGUAUUUUACCAUCAUCGUUGGUUGGUUUCUACACCUGCCCUCUGUCUUGCACCCUCGAGUUCCGCUCUCCGGGUCUUUCGGUAUGUUGAUGAUGGAGGUUCUUCCACCUGUCUGGAUGUGGAGAUUGUUGCGUUUGGUUCUGCUCGAAUUGGAAGGUGAGAAUUCUUUCGCGAGGUUUGUUAACCCCUAAUCGCGAUUAUGUGCUUACCACAUGGCGUUUGGAAACAUUCAGAACAAUGACUAAAAAUAUUGUGCGAUUAUCGACUUCUUGCA